UGAGGAAUAUUGGUCAAUGGACGAAAGUCUGAACCAGCCAUGCCGCGUGAAGGAAUAAGGCCCUAUGGGUCGUAAACUUCUUUUGUAUGUGAGCAAUAAGGUCCACGUGUGGUCCGAUGAGAGUAGCAUACGAAUAAGCAUCGGUUAACUCCGUGCCAGCAGCCGCGGUAAUACGGAGGAUGCAAGCGUUAUCCGGAUUCAUUGGGUUUAAAGGGUGCGUAGGCGGCUUGGUAAGUCAGCGGUGAAAUUCCAGUGCUCAACAUUGGCCGUGCCGUUGAUACUGCUGGGCUUGAAUGCGGGAGAGGGAAGCGGAAUUCCUAGUGUAGCGGUGAAAUGCGUAGAUAUUAGGAGGAACACCAGUGGCGAAGGCGGCUUUCUGGACGGUAACUGACGCUGAGGCGCGAAAGCGUGGGGAGCAAACAGGAUUAGAUA
rnacentral:rRNA from 1 species